AGAGUUUGAUCCUGGCUCAGAACGAACGCUGGCGGCGUGCCUAACACAUGCAAGUCGAACGUGAAAGUCCCUUCGGGGAUGAGUAAAGUGGCGAACGGGUGAGUAACACGUGAGUAAUCUACCUCUCAGUUGGGGAUAACGUCGCGAAAGCGAUGCUAAUACCGAAUGUUAUCUCUCUGUGGUCACACAGGGAGAUAAAAGGUGGCCUCUCCAAGGAUGCUAUCGCUGAGAGAUGAGCUCGCGGACCAUUAGCUAGUUGGUAGGGUAAUGGCCUACCAAGGCGACGAUGGUUAGCCGGCCUGAGAGGGUGACCGGCCACACUGGCACUGAGACACGGGCCAGACUCCUACGGGAGGCAGCAGUGGGGAAUAUUGCGCAAUGGGGGAAACCCUGACGCAGCAACGCCGUGUGCGGGAUGAAGCCUUUCGGGGUGUAAACCGCUGUCAGGGAGAACGAAAGGAUCUUGGGUGAAUAAGCCAGGAUUCUGACGGUACUCCCAGAGGAAGCCCCGGCUAACUCCGUGCCAGCAGCCGCGGUAAUACGGAGGGGGCAAGCGUUGUUCGAAAUUAUUGGGCGUAAAGGGCGCGUAGGCGGUUAGGUAAGUCAAACGUGAAAGCCUUCGGCUUAACCGAGGAGGGUCGUUUGAAACUACUUAACUUGAGUACGGGAGAGGAGAGUGGAAUUCCCAGUGUAGCGGUGAAAUGCGUAGAUAUUGGGGAGAACACCGGUGGCGAAGGCGGCUCUCUGGACCGUAACUGACGCUGAGGCGCGAAAGCUAGGGGAGCAAACGGGAUUAGAUACCCCCGGUAGUCCUAGCCCUAAACGAUGGGCACUAGGUGUAGGAGGUGAUAACCCCUCCUGUGCCGUAGCUAACGCAUUAAGUGCCCCGCCUGGGGAGUACGGUCGCAAGGCUGAAACUCAAAGGAAUUGACGGGGGCCCGCACAAGCGGUGGAGCAUGUGGUUUAAUUCGACGCAACGCGAAGAACCUUACCUGGGCUUGACAUCACCGAGAAGCCCAAGGAAACUUGGGUGUACCCUUCGGGGACUCGGUGACAGGUGCUGCAUGGCUGUCGUCAGCUCGUGUCGUGAGAUGUUGGGUUAAGUCCCGCAACGAGCGCAACCCUUACUCCUAGUUACCAGCGGGUAAAGCCGGGGACUCUAGGGGAACUGCCGGUGAGAAAUCGGAGGAAGGUGGGGAUGACGUCAAGUCAUCAUGGCCUUUAUGUCCAGGGCGACACACGUGCUACAAUGGCUGGUACAAAGGGUUGCAAACCCGCGAGGGGGAGCUAAUCCCAAAAAGCCGGUCUCAGUUCGGAUUGGAGUCUGCAACUCGACUCUAUGAAGGUGGAAUCGCUAGUAAUCGUGGAUCAGCCACGCCACGGUGAAUACGUUCCCGGGCCUUGUACACACCGCCCGUCACACCACGAAAGUUGGCUGUACCAGAAGUCGCUGGGCUAACCCGCAAGGGAGGCA
rnacentral:rRNA from 1 species